rnacentral:piRNA from 1 species
UGCUCGUCUAAUGGACCUGAGACUGAAGA